AUUGAACGCUGGCGGCAGGCCUAACACAUGCAAGUCGGACGGUAGCACAGAGGAGCUUGCUCCUCGGGUGACGAGUGGCGGACGGGUGAGUAAUGUCUGGGGAUCUGCCCGAUAGAGGGGGAUAACCACUGGAAACGGUGGCUAAUACCGCAUAACGUCGCAAGACCAAAGAGGGGGACCUUCGGGCCUCUCACUAUCGGAUGAACCCAGAUGGGAUUAGCUAGUAGGGGGGGUAACGGCCCACCUAGGCGACGAUCCCUAGCUGGUCUGAGAGGAUGACCAGCCACACUGGAACUGAGGCACUGUCCAGACUCCUACGGGAGGCAGCAGUGAGGAAUAUUGCACAAUGGGCGUAAGCCUGAUGCAGCCAUGCCGCGUGUAUGAAGAAGGCCUUCGGGUUGUAAAGUACUUUCAGCGGGGAGGAAGGCGAUGUGGUUAAUAACCGCGUCGAUUGACGUUACCCGCAGAAGAAGCACCGGCUAACUCCGUGCCAGCCGCCGCGGUAA
rnacentral:rRNA from 1 species